AAAACAGCACCAGAGUGGGCCCAACCGGAGUCAACAUUCCUGUCACCAUAACUGCCCCACCAGGAGAGACUACAGUCAUUCCCAUGAACAACAUUGAUGGUGACAGUCUACUGCUGAACGAGGAAAAGAAGGAACUUGAUGAGCUAAAUCAGAAUGCGCCCAAACACAUUCUGCCAUACAGCUCCAUGUUUGUGUUUGGUCCAACUAACCCAGUGAGACGGCUGUGUCAUUAUGUGGUGAACCUACGGUACUUUGAGAUGUGUAUCCUCA